rnacentral:lncRNA from 1 species
GCUCUUCAGAUCUUAAAUAAGCAAAAGCCCCUGGAGUGUCAACAAAUGUAACAAGACACAAUGAUCAGCACAUUUCAUCAUUCUCAAAGCCUUUCUGUAGCUGCACGGCGAAAAUUUAGUAGUUAUCAAUUCAUCUUUUUACAAAACUAACCUUGAGGUAUCAAAUUAAACAAUAUUCCUUUCAAAAACCUGAACGCUGCAUAGACUCUCCAAAAAUCUGAUAACUGUGAACAUGUUCAGAGGCUUAUGAGCAACAACUUCAGCCUAACUUGUUGCUAAUCUAAUUUCACUUUGAAUUAAUGAAAACAUCAAUUCAAUUUAACUUGUUAUUAACCACAGAACAGAUUACUUGGAAUGCUUAAUGAUAGUAAUUAGUAAUAUUGCUAUGAAUGAUAAUAGUUGAAGCAUGACCAUGAGGGGUUGGCAUUGCAAAGUUUUACAUGAUGUUUUUCGUUUGUGUUUCUACCUUUCUGAUGACCAAUGAAAAGAUAAAUUCUACCUUCAAUGCGCCCAAUGUAAGUCACCAUGGUUGGAUCAUCAUAGCCAACACGAUCUCCAUGAAGCUCUACUCACUUCAUGCAUAACAUAAGAUUAAUAUUCCUCGAGUUGCAUUGUUAGAAAAGCAACUUGCCACCUCAGCAUGGUCAAUAAUAUAAGUAAGGUGUCAAACUAUUUUU